UACGGAGGGCGCAAGCGUUGUUCGGAAUCACUGGGCGUAAAGCGCGUGUAGGCGGCCCGGCAAGUCGGAUGUGAAAUCCCGAGGCUCGACCUCUGAACUGCACUCGAAACUGCCUGGCUCGAGUCCCGGAGAGGGUGGCGGAAUUCCCGGUGUAGGGGUGAAAUCCGGAGAUAUCGGGAGGAACACCAGUGGCGAAGGCGGCCACCUGGACGGUGACUGACGCUGAGACGCGAAAUCGUGGGGAGCAAACAGG
rnacentral:rRNA from 1 species